GUGAUACCCUUCCUUCGCGAAGAAGAAUCUCGAGAUCUCCUUGCUAGGUUCUUCGAGGGUGGCUGCCAGAGACUGGAAUAGCACAUCAACUUCUUGCGAGGAGAUGUUCUCCUAUCAACUUCUUGCAAGGAAAGCUCCUCUUGGCUAGAUCUCGUAAGCCUUAAACUCUCCUCAAGAUCUCAUUUCAUGUUGCUCUGUUUCGAAGAUAUCUUGUGUUUGAGUGUAAAUUUCCACGAUAGCGACAACGAUGCACACCGAGAUCAAUCGGAGGAAGCAGGGUAAGCUAGACAUCAUCAAAAUCUGGUGAACUUCUCAUCGGCUGCUCUUCAUCAAAAUCUACUAUGGCUCUCUCCCCCGCCUCUCCCUCUUCUUCUUCCUCACCUCCGGACGAUCAGGGAUUGCCCCAGCAAACCAACCUCAAGGCUUCUAAG
rnacentral:lncRNA from 1 species